GACGAACGCUGGCGGCGUGCCUAAUACAUGCAAGUAGAACGCUGAAGGAGGAGCUUGCUUCUCUGGAUGAGUUGCGAACGGGUGAGUAACGCGUAGGUAACCUGCCUGGUAGCGGGGGAUAACUAUUGGAAACGAUAGCUAAUACCGCAUAAUAGUAGAUGUUGCAUGACAUUUGCUUAAAAGGUGCAAUUGCAUCACUACCAGAUGGACCUGCGUUGUAUUAGCUAGUUGGCGAGGUAACGGCUCACCAAGGCGACGAUACAUAGCCGACCUGAGAGGGGGAUCGGCCACACUGGGACUGAGACACGGCCCAGACUCCUACGGGAGGCAGCAGUAGGGAAUCUUCGGCAAUGGACGGAAGUCUGACCGAGCAACGCCGCGUGAGUGAAGAAGGUUUUCGGAUCGUAAAGCUCUGUUGUAAGAGAAGAAAGAGUGUGAGAGUGGAAAGUUCACACUGUGACGGUAUCUUACCAGAAAGGGACGGCUAACUACGUG
rnacentral:rRNA from 1 species